GGCUACCUGGCGCAAUGGUAGCGCGUUUGGCUUCGAUUGCUGAGCGUACCAGAAGGCUGUAGAUUCAAGUCCUGCGGUGGUAG
rnacentral:tRNA from 1 species